GGAUAUGAGGGCCAUCUGGCUGCGAUAUCUGUCACCCAUUGAUCACCAGGGUUGAUUCGGCUGAUCUGGCUGGCUAGGCAGGUCCUCCUCCUCCUCACCACUCCAGGUGCGUCCCUCCCGAAGCUGCAUGCUAGGUCCAAAAGGACGCCCACCCCCAAUACAGGAGGCUAGAGAAGGACCAUGUCCUCUGUCGAGGGUAUAUGAGUAGCUGCGCUCCUGUGGUGGAACCUCCAAAACAAAAACAAAAACAAAAACAAACAACAAAAAGAAAAUGAGAUAAUGAAUAUAUAUAAUGACCAUCACACUGU
rfam:Heterocephalus glaber contig125849, whole genome shotgun sequence.